GAAACAGCCGUGUCCCGUGAGCACCUGC
rnacentral:sRNA from 1 species